UACGUAGGGGGCAAGCGUUGUCCGGAAUUAUUGGGCGUAAAGAGCUCGUAGGCGGUGUGUCGCGUCGGCCGUGAAAACCUGGGGCUCAACUCUGGGCGUGCGGUCGAUACGGGCAUCACUGGAGUUCGGCAGGGGAGACUGGAGUUCCUGGUGUAGCGGUGAAAUGCGCAGAUAUCAGGAGGAACACCGGUGGCGAAGGCGGGUCUCUGGGCCGAUACUGACGCUGAGGAGCGAAAGCAUGGGUAGCGAACAGG
rnacentral:rRNA from 1 species